rnacentral:tRNA from 1 species
AAGGGAUUCGAACCCUUGGUAAACAAGAGCUUNCAUAGCAUUUCC